rnacentral:lncRNA from 1 species
UGGUAAUGAACUGGUAUCCAUAAUGUUCAAAUAACUCUUAAAACUGAACAAUAAGAACACAAACAAUGGGAUUAAAAAAUGGGCCAGAGACCUUGAUGCCUCACCAAAGAUGUACACAUAGCAAACGAGCAUAUAAAAAGAUGCUCUGCACCAUAUGUUAUAAGGAAAAUGCAAAUCAGAACAACAAGAUACCACCACACAUCUGUUAUAAGGCCAAAAUCUAAAAAACACUGACAUCACCAACUGCUGGAUGUGGGCAAACUCAAACUGCUCCUGUCGCCAAAAGGUUUGCUGAGGACCAUCACUUCCUGGUGCGGGACUCCUUGAAGUUAUCUCCUGAGACAUCUAGUACCCAUUGUUCCAGGAAUGCAGUCUCACAAGCCUGCUGUGAACCAAAUGGCCGACUGACAAUUACCUGACAACCACCACCCCCCUCCUUGCUAUCUCUUUUGCCUAAUAAAUAUGGAAGGCUGUGUACAGCUCAGGGCCCUUGUUCACUAGAAGCAAGGUGCCCCCUGACCCCUUCUUCCAAAU